ACUUAAAGAACAAACACAAACCCCAAUUUCCUCACCAUCUUCCAUCAUCAGAUGCUUUCCAUUAAAUGUUAAACAAUAACUUGACCAAAAAAGGUCUAGAUAAUUAGUAAAAAUCUCUCUGCCUAUGUCUCAUCUCAGUAACCAUAACAAGAGUAUCUUUGUGACAAUUCUCAAACCUGAAAAGAUCUUUUCUCAAAUGUUGGAAAGAAUUUUCUGUGAAACUCCUUGACAAAAUUC
rnacentral:lncRNA from 1 species